GUGCGGGAGCGGCCGCGGAGGAGCGCGGGCUUCUGAGUUGUGGGGCGGGGCGGGGCGGGGCGCAGCUCCGGGCUCGGGCAGGGGCUCGGGAUGCGCCCGGGGAGGCAGCGCGGAGCUGCCCGCCCGCCCACACGGCUCUGCACGUGCCCCGAGCCGGCAUGCGGGAGCCCCGGGGCCGCCUGCUCCUUCCCUCCCGACCCCAGCCUCAAAACAUCCGGGGAGCCCCCUCCUCGGCGCCUCCGGGUGCUUAGUGUUACCUUUUACACGUGGCUGUUCACUAAUUACUAAGGGGAUGAGGAGGAUGAAGCAGAUGAAGAUGAAGCUGGUCCACCAGGAGAGUACAAACAAGGUGAAGAUGAUGGAGGUUCAGAUUUGGGGGAGAGUGAAGAGGAGGAAGAAGCUGGCCUUUCAUACCUGAUGAUGGACAAGAUCCAGGUAGGACUUACCCUAUUCUACUGUAAGGCUCAGGAUUUUCUUGACACUGUCUAGCUAUAAACGUGUAAUAAUUUAAACUUGUAUAAGCAGAAUCAUGUAAAUCCACUAUCAUAUAUGUGCAAUAGAGUACUUUAGAGAGACACCUUUUACUAUCAAAGAAGUGCGUUACAGUAGGGGAACCGCCGCUCUUUGGUAUUCUCCGUUAUCUUGCUCAACAUGAAAUGCUGCAAGAUUUAUUACUUCACUGCCUUGUAGAAUUAGUGUCAUUCUGCACCAAAUCACCACGUCAGAUUUAGAGGAGAACAUGGCCGAAACAAAUCCACCUGCCCUACCAGGAUGCUCACAAGUGUCUGGGGCGCUUCAGCCUUGAGAGCCAUGCCCUCACCGUCCAGAUCUGCAGGUUGUCAGGUGUGGGGCUGGGGCUUCCAGGCAGGGGGGAGAGGGUGAGUAUGGAGGAGCUAGGGCCUGAGGGUGCAGGGGGCUGAUCAGGAUGUGAGGGCUGAGGCAAAGGGGAGACAGGCUGGGAAUCGAGGAGUGAGGGCUGGCCACAGGAAGAAGUCAGGGAGAGGCUGGAGCUGUGGCCCUGGGAGUGCCAUGGGUUCGGCCAUGCAGGGGAGAGCUGGGGCAGGGAGCGGAGACUUCCCCUGGGUGGGAGCACAGGACCUUGAGCUGCUCUUAGUGGAGGGAGGUGGGUGGGAAGUUGGAUCCUGGCAUUUUGGGGAAGGAGAAGGGAUUGGACGCUCCUUUCACCCCACUUAUCUCAGGGCCCUUUUCUUUCCUAGCCAGGGGGGCAGAAAGCCCGUGUGAUGUUUGCUGAGCUGACCUGCAGGGAGCCUGAUGGAUGCAGGGGAUGGGAAUGGGGCUCUGUUGGGUUCGCUGCUCUGGGAAGGAAGCGCGUUAGAGCAGAGCAGGCGUGAGGACCAGGACUUGCAGGUUGUGCCCUGCUCUGGCUCUUCGAAAGGAGUGCUGUCCAGCAUGCCAUAGUGAGGGGCAUGGUUUGGGAGGACUCCUGGGUCCUGUUUCUAGCUGAGGGAAGGAGGGCAGGGGGUGGGAGGAAGGUUUUGUGGCUCAAGACUCCUGGCUUCUUUUUGGGAUCUGUCACUUCCCCAGAAUGAACCCACAAAUCAUCUGUGCUUUGAGUCAAUUGAUACCUUGGGUGAUGCUGUCAGCACAUACAUGGAGCGGUUAUCAACGUGAGCCAUGAUGCGAUACGCAGACCAGCUGCCAGCUCUGGGUGGUGGAGGAGCAGUCCAUCAGCCAGGUCAACGGCGACUUCGACUGCAAGUGGGAGGUGCUGGAGGCCUCAGGCCAGGUCAGCAUUAACUGGCCCCGGGAGUGACCUUGCUGUGGGGAGGCUCCUCGAGGACCUGCCCAUCCCCUCUCAGAGACCUGCCUGCACAGCUUCACGUGCACCCACACCCAAAGGACUCUGUAGAGGGGGCAGGGUCACAGGCAUGGUUGUGGGUUGAACUUUGAAGAUGUGGGGUGGGAGUCUAAUGUAAGACAUGUUUAUUUUUAGAGCUGUUCUUCUACACCUGCUGCUUUCCCAGGAGAGAGAGACUUAAUUGAUAUGAAUGGGAGGAGGGUUGUACUGGAAUGGUCUAUUUUAGGCAGGAGUGAGGGCUGUCCUUGUCCCAUUGCUGGGUUCCCUGCCCCCCAGUCUGGAGAAUGGCUUGAGCCUUGUUUUGCUUCCACCCAAGAGGAUUAUAUUAAAAUAUAAUAAAGGAAAA